GAGUUUGAUCCUGGCUCAGGACGAACGCUGGCGGCGCGCCUAACACAUGCAAGUCGAACGGAGCUUAGAGAGCUUGCUUUUUAAGCUUAGUGGCGAACGGGUGAGUAACGCGUGAGUAACCUGCCCUAGAGUGGGGGACAACAGUUGGAAACGACUGCUAAUACCGCAUAAGCCCACGGUGCCGCAUGGCACUGAGGGAAAAGGAUUUAUUCGCUUUAGGAUGGACUCGCGUCCAAUUAGCUAGUUGGUGAGGUAACAGCCCACCAAGGCGACGAUUGGUAGCCGGACUGAGAGGUUGAACGGCCACAUUGGGACUGAGACACGGCCCAGACUCCUACGGGAGGCAGCAGUGGGGGAUAUUGCACAAUGGGGGAAACCCUGAUGCAGCGACGCCGCGUGAGCGAAGAAGUAUUUCGGUAUGUAAAGCUCUAUCAGCAGGGAAGAAAAUGACGGUACCUGACUAAGAAGCCCCGGCUAACUACGUGCCAGCCGCCGCGGUAAUUC
rnacentral:rRNA from 1 species